CCCUUAGAUGUUCUGGGCCGCACGCGCGCUACACUGACUGGUUCAUCGAGUAUACAACCUUGACUGAUAGGUCUGGGUAAUCUUCUCAAAGCCAGUCGUGCUGGGGAUAGAUUAUUGUAAUUUUUAAUCUUCAACGAGGAAUUCCUAGUAAACGCGAGUCAUCAACUCGCAUUGAUUACGUCCCUGCCCUUUGUACACACCGCCCGUCGCUACUACCGAUUGAACGGUUUAGUGAGGGCCUCGGAUUGGUCUCGGCCCGCUCUUCACCGGGCGGCGCCGUUGGUCGAGAAGACGCUCGAACUUGAUCGUUUAGAGGAAGUAAAAGUCGUAACA
rnacentral:rRNA from 1 species